rnacentral:pre_miRNA from 14 species
UGCAGAGGCCAUGGAGGGGAUGUUUCUUACUGGCUUGCUUUGAAAGAUCCCACGCAGAGAGACCCUUACUCAAGUCUUGGGAAAUCGCGGACCCCAGACACAGAGAGACCA